GACGAACGCUGGCGGCGUGCUUAACACAUGCAAGUCGAACGGAAAGGCCCUGCUUUUGUGGGGUGCCCGCGUGGCGAAAGGGUGAGUAACACGUGAGUUACCUUCCCGUGCCUUUGGGAUAACUUCAGGAAACUGGGGCCAAUACCGGACAGGUGCUCCUGCGGCACGGGGGGGGUUGGACAGUUUCGGCGGUUGGGGAUGGACUAGCGGCUUAUCAGCUUUUUGGUGGGGUAGUGGCUUACCAAGGCUUGGACGGGUAGCCGGCCUGAGAGGGUGACCGGCCACAUUGGGACUGAGAUACGGCCCAGACUCCUACGGGAGGCAGCAGUGGGGAAUAUUGCACAAUGGGCGGAAGCCUGAUGCAGCAACGCCGCGUGCGGGAUGACGGCCUUCGGGUUGUAAACCGCUUUCGCCUGUGACGAAGCGUGAGUGACGGUAAUGGGUAAAGAAGCACCGGCUAACUACGUGCCAGCCGCCGCGGUAACAC
rnacentral:rRNA from 1 species